GCAAGAAAUUGGCUCCUGGGCGCGAGUGAGACGGCGGCGGCGGCACCCAAUCCGCCCUUAGAUCUCUUUCUCACGGCAGCGCCACCCUGAUAUCGCCUCUUCACGUCGUCCACCUGGGGCGCCCAUCGGCAUGGCCGGUGUUGGAAGGGGGAUGGGGCGGGGCUGUGGCGAUGGCAAGCUGCGAACAGUGGGGGUCGUCGCCGGCGUCCAUGGCCCAUCUCAAGAGACUAUUCCCGCUUGUCAGGGCAGAGGUCACGGCAGCGGCAGUGUGACGAUCCCCGUCGACCAUUCAUCGGGAGGACAAGCAACGGGAUUUCUGGAUGACAUCAACCGAAGCGGAUUUGCCACCGGGGUGGCUCGUCAGGGUGGCAUAAGCAGAGGCCUGGAGGUUCCACUGCCGGUUAAAGAACCAACUAUAGGUAAGGUUGUGUCCUUGUAGAUCUACGUUCAUUUUUGUUACUAAUUUUCUGUCUAGUAUGCUUUCAUUUUGUCUUCAAACUAGUUUACAGCAAUAGAAGUAGUCCCAGAUACCAGUAUUUACUAGGUGGAUCAACUUCUUUUGUAGUAAUGUGCAGCAGGUUACACACUUCACUUGGCCUAGUUAACUGAAAGCUUAAACAGAUCCAAGAGAUGCAACUAAGCUGUGUAAUUUCAGAAGCUUAAUCAGCAAUUAGUGUGGCCAUUCCAGCAAGGCAAUGCAAAUUUACACAUUGAUCGCACGCAGCCGUAGAAGUCGCCAUAGUAGGUAUACUUUUUUUAUAGAAGUUGCCGUAGUCAAAUGUUAUCCAAAUUAAAUGCAACAUAAUUACAUAUGCUUCUGUAUUUUUAUUUCAGGUAAUGCAAAUGAUAUAACAAACAUAUGGUGUCAUGGGAAAUCAUUGGAAGGACAAGCAUGGGAGUGUGGAUAUUGUGGUUUAGUUAGACAUGGUGGGGGUUCAACCCGAUUCAAGCAGCAUAUAGCUGGACUGGGCCCUCAUGUCUUCUCUUGCAUGAAUGCACCUCAUCACGUAGUUGCCAUUUUUCGGAAAGCCAUUCCAGAGGGAGAGGCCCGGAGAAGGACUUCCAAAGAAGGAAAGAAAAGAGUGGUAGCUGAGGUCAAUCAUAUGAACAAUCAAGGUGCAGCAAUACAUAUCGAUUGUGAAGAUGAAGAUGAUGAGGUACUCCAGUAGACCCUACGAAAUUCGUUACGUGAAGAUCAUGGGAGAACCAGUGCUGUUAAAGGAAGUGUAGGGAGCAGCUCAAGUGGUGUCAAAGACUUUUUUGACGUUGACUUGGCAUAUAGCAAGACUAGGCCACAUCAGACAAUGGAGGCGUGUAUUAGCAAGGUGGAAUAUGAAUCCAGGAUUGGGAAGGCUUGGGCAAAAUGGUUUCACGCUAAUGACAUCCCUGGGCACAAAGCCAAUUGUCCGUACUUCGUAGGAGCAAUAAAAUUGACUCAAGACCUUGGCAAAGGGGUGCCUGCCCCUAAAGGGAUAGAUAUUGAUGGAGUUUAUUUAAAUAGCAAUUAUGAAGAGUUGCAGCAGUAUGUGGCCAAGUUCAAAGAUGAUUGGCCCACAUAUGGUGUUACUAUCAUGUCAGAUUCGUGGACUGGCCCUUCACGGAUGAGCAUCAUAAACUUUAUGGUGUUCUCCAAUGGGCGUAUGUAUUUCCACAAAUCUGUUAAUGCCACCGGACACAUGCAAAAUUCACAGUUUGUGUUUGAGCACAUCAAAGAAGUGAUCGAAGAGAUAGGGCAGCAACAUGUUGUCCAACUUGUGACCGACAAUGGCUCUAACUUCAAGAAAGCAUGUCUUGACCUUGUUGCAGAUUUCCCACACAUCACAUGGCAGCCAUGUGCGGAUCACACCAUUAACCUCAUGUUGAAGGAGAUGGGAUGCUUUUCUGAGAUUAAUGAAGUGGUUAGUAGUUGUAAGAGAAUUUGCAGAUUCAUGUACAAUCAUUCAACUUUGCAUGCUGAAAUGCAGAAGCACAUAGGUGGAGAGUUGGUGCGCCCGAAUGCCACAAGGUUUGGAACUAACUUUAUGUUCCUAGAAAGCUUUUGGGAUAAGCAAGAGAAAUUCCAAGUGUGGAUGACAUCUCCAGAGUGGAAAAAUAGCUCAUGGAGUUCCGAGGUUGAUUAUGACUACACAUAUGAUUGUUUGAUAAGUAGGACCUGGUUGAAUAGCGUGAAGUGGGUGCUAGAUUUAAUUGGCCCAAUAUAUAGCAUACUUAGAUAUGCUGAUUCACAGAAGCUUGGGUCACUUUCUGGCUUUAUGACAAGGAUGAUGCAUUCUAGGCAUCAAUUGAGUUCUUUGUUUUGUCAUGAUUCUCUAGACCAAAACAAGUACCUAAAGGUGGUCGACAAAAGGGUUGACCAUUUAUACAAAAACACAUUGAUGGUUGCAGGUAAUAAUUCUUGCUGCCAUAGAAUUGUUAUUGUUGGUAAAAUGCUAAUUAUUCUUAUUGUUGCUAUCCUUUAAUGGUCGUUGCGAACUAAUUCUUGCUGCCAUGCUAUCAUUCCAUUCUAUAGCCGGUGUUCUGGACCCGGCAAGUCACUACAAGUAUAACUUUGGAAAAAGUCUAUCACACGUGAAUGCACUCAAUGCAGCACUUAAGAAGUUGGCUAGUCCUUCAGAGUUCAUUGCUAUGAUUCCUGAAGUUCACUCUUAUGUCAAUACAAGAGGGGCUUUCGAAGGCAUGUACCCUCGUAAUGCAGCUGAAAAGGUGUCCCCAACUGAGUGGUGGAUAACAUUUGGAGGAACUACACCGGUGCUUCAAAAGUAUGCUAUUCGUAUUGUCUCUCAAUGCACCUCUUCAAGUGACUGUGAGCGGAAUUGGAGCACAUACGCUUUAGUGCAUACACUAGUGAGGAACCGUCUUGGUUUUGAAAAGUUGCACAAGAUGGUUUUUUGCCACUACAACCUUAGGCUGCGAAUCCGACUAAUUCUUGGUGAGCCAAAAGAGAAAGAGGUUGAUACUUGUGCGUUGUUGAUGAAUACCACUCUCUAUGAUUGUAAUAACGAAAUCAUGGAUUGGUUGGGCAACUCAACAAGCGAUUCCAUUCAAGAUGAGGAUGAAUAUGAUGGUGAUAGUGAUGGUGAUGGUGAUUGUCCGGUUGUCUUAGAGGUGGUGGGACAAAAGAGAUCUAGAGGAAGUGGGAUGCCUCCAAGUGAGGAGGAAGAGGAGGAAGAGGAUGUAGAUGAUGGGGAGGAUGAUGAAGGUAACAAUGACGUGCUGCCUCGUGAAAGCAAUGAACCUUUGCGGAAGUCUACAAGGAAAAGGAGGAAGAGGAAGCUUGAUUCGUUUUGAGAUUCGAGGAAGGAGACUUGCAAGUCUAGAAGGAAUUGAAUGACAAUUUGGUUUGUUGCUCAAUGCUUUGUAGUAUGUAAUUAACGAAUCGACGAUCUUUUGUUAUGGGACUGUAAUAUGGACUGGCUGCACUUCUUUUGUUGUUGGACUGCUAUGUGUGUCUUCCUGUGUCUAAUCUUAAGUUUAGUCUCUAAAGUCUGAAACUAUAUUGUUGGACACUUGGACUGCUAUUCUGAUGGUUUAUGAGUAUUGUACAUCUAUAUUGGUCAUUGUAUUGUUA